rnacentral:tRNA from 1 species
GGGAAUGUGGUUUAGUGGUAGAGUGCUUGCCUUCUGUGCAUGAAGCCCCAGGUUCGAUUCCUCAGUACUA